UGCAUUUAUUUUUUAUUAACCAUUUAUUUGUCUGUAAUUGUUUUUACUCUCACAUUACAAUCGUGUGGGGGUUUUUAUAUAUUUUUUUUAAACUUUAUUUUUGUAAAAUAAAUAGAGAUAAGUGAACUUUUAAGGUAGGACGCUCUCCAGACCCUUGGUUAAACUCUGUGAUCCCAUGAUUGAAUCUCUGCAUCAGACCUGUGGAAGCACAGCCCACACACGCUCAGGUAAAAGCCCAAAAAUUCCUUAAAAUUCCCCAUCCUGGGCGCGGGGCUGCACCAGAGCCAGGCAGGAGCAGCAGCUCCCACUGCCAGGAAUGUCCUGUUCCUUUCACAAACACACUGAUACGAGUUAAAAAUCCAUUUUUUCUGAAGCUGUGAGUGUUAAGGGUUAGGUGAGAUCCCAAACUCUGCUCCCACCCCCGCGGGCAGCCCGGGACGAGGCACAGCUCUGUUAGACCAUAAUUAACUCUGGGUAACUUACGGGGGGGGUUUUAGGUAGUUUUGGGGUUUAAAGCCUUUGAUUGGUUAUCCUGGGAUGUGACCCCUGGCGGGGAUGGUGCUCAGGGCACCCAAACUGUGCUUGGGGACCUCUCCAGGCAGGGUCCCCUGUGCCUGGGGGCACACAGGGACACACAGGGACACACAGGGCACACAGGGACACGGUGCCAGGGCCAGCAGCAGCACGGGGGGCACGGGGCAGGCAUGGCCAGCACAGGGGCACAGGGCUCCGAGCCCUUCUCUCAAUGCAUUCCCCCUGCACAGGGACAAAGGGCUCUGAGCCUUCCAUCACUGCAUUCCCUCUGCACAGCUGGCAGAGAGUUCUGAGCCUUCCUUCACUGCAUUCCCCCUGCACAGCUGGCAGUUCACAAAGUUCUGAGCCUUCCAUCACUGCAUUCCCUCUGCACAGCUGGCAGUUCAGAGAGUUCUGAGCCUUCCUUCACUGCAUUCCCUCUGCACAGCUGGCAGGACACAGGGUUCUGAGCCUUCCAUCACUGCAUUCCCUCUGCACAGCUGGCAGAGAGUUCUGAGCCUUCCAUCACUGCAUUCCCUCUGCACAGCUGGCAGAGAGUUCUGAGCCCUUCCUUCACUGCAUUCCCUCUGCACAGCUGGCAGUUCAGAAGGUUUUGAGCCCUUC